GAUGAACGCUAGCGGCAGGCUUAACACAUGCAAGUCGAGGGGCAGCGCGAGGUAGCAAUACUUUGGCGGCGACCGGCGAAAGGGUGAGUAACGCGUGAGCAACAUGCCCGAUAGCGGAGGAUAGUCGAUGGAAACGUCGUGUAAUACUCCGUAACAACAGAGGCCGCAUGACCUUUGUUUAAUAGAUUUAUCGCUAUCGGAUUGGCUCGCGUCCCAUUAGGCAGUUGGCGGGGUAACGGCCCACCAAACCGACGAUGGGUAGGGGUUCUGAGAGGAAGGUCCCCCACAUUGGAACUGAGACACGGUCCAGACUCC
rnacentral:rRNA from 1 species